rnacentral:rRNA from 1 species
UGAGUAACACGUGGAUGAUCUACCUUCUGGUGAGGAAUAACCCUGGGAAACCGGGGAUAAUACCGCAUAAGCUCGAGAGAGGAAAGCAGCAAUGCGCCGGAAGAGGAGUCCGCGGCCGAUUAGCUAGUUGGCAGGGUAAAAGCCUACCAAGGCGAAGAUCGGUAGCCGGCCUGAGAGGGCACACGGCCACACUGGCACUGAAACACGGGCCAGACUCCCACGGGAGGCAGCAGUGGGGAAUCUUGCACAAUGGGGGAAACCCUGAUGCAGCGACGCCGCGUGAGCGAUGAAGCCCUUCGGGGUGUAAAGCUCUUUCGGCAGGGAAGAUGAUGACGGUACCUGCAGAAGCAGCUGCGGCUAACUACGUGCCAGCAGCCGCGGUAAUACGUAGGCAGCAAGCGUUGUUCGGAGUUACUGGGCGUAAAGGGUGUGUAGGCGGUUGUUUAAGUUUGGUGUGAAAUCUCCCGGCUCAACUGGGAGGGUGCGCCGAAUACUGAAUGACUCGAGUGCGGGAGAGGAGAGUGGAAUUCCUGGUGUAGCGGUGAAAUGCGUAGAUAUCAGGAGGAACACCGGUGGUGUAGACGGCUCUCUGGACCGUAACUGACGCUGAGACACGAAAGCGUGGGUAGCAAACAGGAUUAGAUACCCUGGUAGUCCACGCCCUAAACGAUGCAUAUUUGGUGUGGGCCGUUCAGUCGGUCCGUGCCGGAGCUAACGCGUUAAAUAUGCCGCCUGGGGAGUACAGUCGCAAGGCUGAAACUCAAAGGAAUUGACGGGGGCCCGCACAAGCGGUGGAGCAUGUGGUUCAAU